rnacentral:rRNA from 1 species
GACGAACGCUGGCGGCGUGCUUAACACAUGCAAGUCGAACGGAAAGGCCCUGCUUUUGUGGGGUGCUCGAGUGGCGAACGGGUGAGUAACACGUGAGUAACCUGCCCUUGACUUUGGGAUAACUUCAGGAAACUGGGGCUAAUACCGGAUAGGAGCUCCUGCUGCAUGGUGGGGGUUGGAAAGUUUCGGCGGUUGUGGAUGGACUCGCGGCUUAUCAGCUUGUUGGUGGGGUAGUGGCUUACCAAGGCUUUGACGGGUAGCCGGUCUGAGAGGGUGACCGGACAGGUGGGGACUGACACACGGCCGAACCUCCUGCGGGAGGCAGCAGUGGGGAAUAUUGCGCAGUGGGGGAAACCCUGAUGCAGGGACGGCGCGUGAGGGAAGAAGUAAUUCGGUAUGUAAAGCUCUAUCAGCAGGGAAGAAAAUGACGGUACAUGAGUAAGAAGGCACGGCCAACUACGUG